AUUGAACGCUGGCGGCAUGCCUUGCACAUGCAAGUCGAACGGUAACAGGUCUUCGGAUGCUGACGAGUGGCGAACGGGUGAGUAAUACAUCGGAACGUGCCUAGUAGUGGGGGAUAACUACUCGAAAGAGUGGCUAAUACCGCAUGAGAUCUACGGAUGAAAGCAGGGGAUCGCAAGACCUUGUGCUACUAGAGCGGCCGAUGGCAGAUUAGGUAGUUGGUGGGAUAAAAGCUUACCAAGCCGACGAUCUGUAGCUGGUCUGGGAGGACGAUCAGCCACACUGGGACUGAGACACGGCCCAGACUCCUACGGGAGGCAGCAGUGGGGAAUUUUGGACAAUGGGCGAAAGCCUGAUCCAGCAAUGCCGCGUGCAGGAUGAAGGCCUUCGGGUUGUAAACUGCUUCUGUACGGAACGAAAAGCCCCGGGUUAAUACCCUGGGGUAAUGACGGUACCGUAAGAAUAAGCACCGGCUAACUACGUGCCAGCCGCCGCAGUAA
rnacentral:rRNA from 1 species